AUUGAACGCUAGCGGGAUGCUUUACACAUGCAAGUCGAACGAUUGGCGGACGUGUGAGUCAUCUAUCGGAACGUGCCCAGUAGCGGGGGUUAACUACUCGAAAGAGUGGCUAAUACCGCUUACUAUUGGAGCGGCCGAUAUCGGAUUUGCUAGUUGGUGGGGUAAAGGCUCACCAAGGCAACGAUCCGUAGCUGGUUUGGGAGGACGACCGGCCACACUGGGACUGAGAAACGGCCCAGACUCCUACGGGAGGCAGCAGUGGGGAAUUUUGGACAAUGGGGGAAACCCUGAUCCAGCAAUCCCGCGUGUAUGAGAAGGCCUUCGGGUUGUAAAGUACUUUUGGCAGAGAAGCGGUAUCUGCAGAAUAAGCACCGGCUAACUACGUGCCAGCAGCCGCGGUAAUUC
rnacentral:rRNA from 1 species